rnacentral:rRNA from 1 species
GAUGAACGCUGGCGGCGUGCCUAAUACAUGCAAGUCGAGCGAACGGACGAGAAGCUUGCUUCUCUGAUGUUAGCGGCGGACGGGUGAGUAACACGUGGAUAACCUACCUAUAAGACUGGGAUAACUUCGGGAAACCGGAGCUAAUACCGGAUAAUAUUUUGAACCGCAUGGUUCAAAAGUGAAAGACGGUCUUGCUGUCACUUAUAGAUGGAUCCGCGCUGCAUUAGCUAGUUGGUAAGGUAACGGCUUACCAAGGCAACGAUGCAUAGCCGACCUAAGAGGGUGAUCGGCCACACUGGAACUGAGACACGGUCCAGACUCCUACGGGAGGCAGCAGUAGGGAAUCUUCCACAAUGGGCGAAAGCCUGACGGAGCAACGCCGCGUGAGUGAUGAAGGUCUUCGGAUCGUAAAACUCUGUUAUUAGGGAAGAACAUAUGUGUAAGUAACUGUGCACAUCUUGACGGUACCUAAUCAGAAAGCCACGGCUAACUACGUG